rnacentral:misc_RNA from 1 species
AUAAAAUUGGACAAUCUCUUAGAGAUUCAUAUCCAUUUCUAGAUUGUUUUUGUAAUUUUUAAUAAUCUAUAUUGUCUUGAUGACCUUUCUGAUUAUCAAUUAAGUUACUGAAAAUAAGUUUAUGAAAACACUAAUUGGUUAUCAUGUAGUUGUUGUUGGACUUUUGGAUUGCACAGAUGCCUGCCGUCUUGAAAAUAUUAACUGAGAAAAAGAUAUUCUGUGUUGCAAAUGAAUGGUUGUUUCUUGCUUGAUUUGCAUUUGUACCUAAUGGCACUUGGUGGGUUAAACACUUAAGCUGGAGGCUUGGCUUUAAAAUUAGUCUGCCUCAAUGCUUGACCUCUAUUCUUAUUCCUAAUCAUUAUCAUUUAUGCAUGCAAGUGUUGAUGUAAUAUUGUUUUUGCAGUUUCAAGCCACUUAUGG